GUCCCUGUAGCGCAGUGGAUAGCGCACUAGACUUCUAAUCCAAAGGUCGUGGUUUCGAAUCCCUCCAGGGAUG
rnacentral:tRNA from 1 species